UGUUGUGGCAGGCGAUCGCUGGCGUGGGUAAAACCUGGCCAGAGGAAAGUCCGGACACCAGAGGGCAGCAUGCCUCGUGAAAACGGGGGGACCUGGGGGCAAAGCCCCCAAGGUCACGGAAAGUGGCUCAGAAAAUAACCCGCCUAGCACUAUCCCUCCCCAGUUUGGAUUGGAAUCAAAACGAAACAAUUUAUUCGCCGAAGCAAAACUGGGGAGGGGUGGUGCUGGGUAAGGGUGAAAAGGCGGGGUAAGAGCCCACCGGAUCUUCGCGUAAGCGAGAUCGCACGACAAACCCCAUGUGGUGCAAGACAAAGCAGAGGAGCGAGUUGCCCGCUCAUCUUUCCGCGAAAGCGGAGAGGACACCUCGGGUAUUAGUCGCACCCGGAGCAAAGCCCCGGGCACGUGCAAAACGCGUGAGAUAAAUGAUCGCCGAUACGCGAAAGCGCAUACAGAAUUCGGCUUACGCUACUCCAAGCG
rnacentral:RNase_P_RNA from 1 species